CGGCACGGGUGAGUAACACGUAUCCAACCUGCCGUCUACUCUUGGCCAGCCUCCUGAAAGGAAGAUUAAUCCAGGAUGGCAUCAUGAGUUCACAUGUCCGCAUGAUUAAAGGUAUUUUCCGGUAGACGAUGGGGAUGCGUUCCAUUAGAUAGUAGGCGGGGUAACGGCCCACCUAGUCAACGAUGGAUAGGGGUUCUGAGAGGAAGGUCCCCCACAUUGGAACUGAGACACGGUCCAA
rnacentral:rRNA from 1 species